rnacentral:rRNA from 1 species
UAUGAAUAUUAAAUUUUUAAUCUUAGUAUUAAUAGUUAUGGUCUUUAAAUUAAAAGAAUUUGGCGGUAAUUUAGUCUGUUCAGAGGAAUCUGCCCUAUGAUUGAUGAUCCACGAUGAAUUUUACUUUAUUUAGGCUUGUAUAUCUCUGUCAUUGAAUGUCUUAUAAGAGUAUUUUCUUUAAUUAUUAUUGUAGGUAAUGUCAGGUCAAGGUGCAGCAAUAAUAAAGAAGAGGUGGAUUACAUUAAAUGUAUUUAUGGAAAAGUUUAUGUAAAUGUCUUGUGAAAUUGGAUUUGAAAGUAAAUUUUAUUAGAAUAUAAAAUUGAUUUAGCUCUAAAUUAUGU